UCGGACUAGCUUCAGCGAUGGAUCGGUCGAUUCGCGUAUCGAUGAAAAACGCAGCUAGCUGCGUUAUUUACCACGAAUUGCAGACGCUUAGAGUGGUG
rnacentral:rRNA from 1 species